rnacentral:tRNA from 1 species
AUUUAUGUAGUUUAAUAAAACCCUACAUUUUCAUUGUAAAGUUAGGCUCAAGCCUCAUAAAUU